CUGUUGUAUUACAGAUUUGAACCUGUUUCUGAUCACUUAAGCUAGUUUAUGUUUAACUUCGGUCCCUAACCCUGCAGUGUACAGUCUUGCUG